GGGGAAUAUUGCACAAUGGGGGAAACCCUGAUGCAGCGACGCCGCGUGGAGGAAGAAGGUCUUCGGAUUGUAAACUCCUGUUGUUGAGGAAGAUAAUGACGGUACUCAACAAGGAAGUGACGGCUAACUACGUGCCAGCAGCCGCGGUAAAACGUAGGUCACAAGCGUUGUCCGGAAUUACUGGGUGUAAAGGGAGCGCAGGCGGGAAGACAAGUUGGAAGUGAAAUCCAUGGGCUCAACCCAUGAACUGCUUUCAAAACUGUUUUUCUUGAGUAGUGCAGAGGUAGGCGGAAUUCCCGGUGUAGCGGUGGAAUGCGUAGAUAUCGGGAGGAACACCAGUGGCGAAGGCGGCCUACUGGGCACCAACUGACGCUGAGGCUCGAAAGUGUGGGUAGCAAAC
rnacentral:rRNA from 1 species